UUAGCUAAUUUUGGGCUGGUACAAAUAGCAAUUGGGGCCGGAGCCACGCCCAGGACAACAAGGGCCACGGCCCUGGGCGCAGCGAGAAUUUCAGCCUACCAUCAGGUGAAAAACAAAUUGGCCCAGGGCGAAGCCCAGGCCUGUCCCAACUUUCUUUCUCUUCGCUGGCUCACUCGACCGGGCGAGAGAACCGGAACCCUCCCCUCGUUUGCUUGGUCACCUGGCCGGCUGGCCGGCUGGCUGGUGCCUCAAAAUGGCUCCGAUCCUACUUGGCCGCCGCCUCCGGCCCUCCGCCCAUGCCUGGCCUCUGCCUUCUGAUCCGUCUCCUCUGCUCUGCCACUCCCGCGAGAUCGUCGGCCGGCGUCGCCAUAGCCUGACUUGGCAUGACACUGCCUGUCUGCCUCCUCUGCUCCACCACCCCGACUCCUGCUGAUUGACCCUCCUCCUCGGCAGUGCUCGGCUGCGGCACGACACCUCGGCACUUCUGCUGCGGCUCCUCUCAAGUCUUAACUUGGAUAGAUCAACAGCCAAAGUCUAAACUGCUCCGGGUUUGACUCCCUCGGCUGGCAUGCACGCAAGCAUAUACCUGUCAUUGGAAGCGGCGCCUAAUUUGAACUCUACUGAAUUUAGCCAGACUGUAGCCUGCACCAAGCGUUUGUGUCAAGUGCCAACUCUCUUCCUGAAAGUGUGUUUUUCCUUUUUUUGAAAUUCUUUUUUAUCAUUAGUGUAAACAUAGGCUGAGGCUUGAGCACACGGCCUGCAUGCCCGGUUUCAUGC